GGGGAAGUGCCUCGGCCUUAGGGAACAGGCUCCAGGGCCGGCUCCGGCAAAUGGCAAAUGAAAUGGGGGAGGGGAGAGGAGCCUUUUUCUCCUCAGCUCCCCCUACCCCAGCAACUUGCGUGAGGGCAAGGGCGGCUUGCUUACUCUUUGUUUGCCUUAUUCCCAAGUCGGCAACCCCUAACCUUGGUUUGGAAGUUUGGAAGUGGGGCACUCAUUGGCCUUCAUCUCUUGGAAGAAACUUAGGGCCGUUGGGGAGGCGGAAGCGGAUGAGGAGUCUCUGUGCUUGCUCACCCCGGGCCAGAUCUCAGUGAUCCAGAGCGAGGAGAGGGUCUUCAGCUCGGAAGGCUGUGCCUAUCUCUGACUUCUGAAUGUCCGGCUUCCGCCUCCCAUCUAACUGGAUGCCAGCGUCCAGCCAUCCUGCUGGACGCGGGGGGAGAAGCCCCAUUUUACCGCUCGACGAGAGGACAGAGCCUGGCAGCCCCUGAGAUAAGUGUGGCUGUUGGGUAAGGAGCCCAAACCACCUGAAGGCCCGCGCUAGCACAAGGAGUGGCCGGGGGCCCCCGCGGAGGGAGCCAGCGGGGCGGGGCGGGGCCGCGCCAACGGG
rnacentral:lncRNA from 1 species